ensembl:lncRNA
ACAGUAAGUGUAGAUAUGGAUGGUUUCAGCUGACUGGCUGGCUGGCAGAACAAGUUGCUGGUAAUGUGCUCCAUCUGCUUUAUGUUCUACAGAAUCCAGUAGCGGUUGAUAGCAAGAUUACCAAGGCAGCAACCCAGAUUUGCUUUGUGUCUUGUGUGUAGGCAUUAAGGGAAAAGAAACAGAGGAAGGAGCAUAAUAUUUCCUUUCAGUCUCCUCAUGAGCAAACAAACACCUUAAAGAACAUUAGAAAGAAUUUAACUUGGGCGUGACUGAAAAUUUGAGAGAUUUUUUUUUUCUGGGUAUUUAUUUAAGUAGUGCUUUAUUGUAUAUCUCCACUAUCAAAACCUAAAUACAUCCAUCUUUAACAGAGCAUUGAACAAAAACACAUUUCAAUUGUUUCUGCAGCAAUGUCUGUCUUUUACUGAGACACGAAUGUGCCCUCUGAACUACCCUGGCUGCGAACCUGGCUUUAGAUCAGACACAGUGAUCGUCAAAACAGUGCUGUCCCAUAUUCUGCUUCAUCAAUCCUCCCUGGUUCCUGGCUGAGUGUCUGCAUGUUCCUUCCACUGGAAAAUUUUGGGAGAAGGCAGCUCUCAGAGAAGUAGGAUUUUAUUGGUCCAUAGAGUUCCUUGUGACUUCACUAGUGCAUUAGUGAUGGGGGUGAUACGGGGCAAUCAGUUUCUUCUCAGUACUCAUACUGCAGCCCUCCAGUCUGAGCUCCCAUGUGGACAGGGCAUGCUGUCCUGUGCAAUAUGGUGUGUAAGCACAAACUUUGAGUUGGCGUAUUUAUGUUAUGAUGUGUUUUGCCACUUGGGAGUACCCUAAGAAAUACCUUGCUAUUUCUAAGAAGCCUGAUCUAGGGUUAAAUUAUAGCUCUAUUUAGAUGACAAUGGCACCUGGUGGUUACUGGAAGCAAAGUUUAUGCUGUUCUUAAGUUAUCAUGACACCACCAGUGUAUUACCAGGGUGGAGUGGUGAUAUAUCAACAGCCAAACUUCUGUUCAAGGCAGGCAACAAAAGAACGUGUGAGCUUGGUUGAUUCUGUAUGUUGGGCUAUGUGCACCUUUUAAGGCACAAAGUUAUAACUGGUUUACCAUUCUGAAAAGCUAUGUUGGUUAAAGCAAAGUAGCCUGAGUACUUCAGCUUCUCUGAAUUUUGCAAUGAAAUAAGUGUUAAUUUUGCAUUUUGUUACAUGUGAAAUUUCUCGUAGUGUGCUGUUUGUUUGGUUUUUUGUUUGUUUUAUAUGGUGAAAUAUCAGUAUUCAUUUUCUGCUAACUCAAUGUAUUCUGUAACACAAAACAUGGAUAGAAGUCGCAUCAACAAAGAAAACUCAUUUUCCUCUUAUUUGUAUUCAGCUCACGUAUUUUUAACCUGGAAUAGUAGAAAUCAUGUAUAAUGUUCAUAAGAUCUUAAUGAACGUGUGAAGUGAUUCCUUCACAAAUGUCUACUUAUAAGUUCUGCACAAGGUCAGACUUUGUCAUUAUUGAUUGGGAGCAGAAUUAAAAUGCCAGUUGUUGUCCAGUUUAUUAUCAAGCUACUGAAACUAUCUCCUCUCUGAUAUUUCAAAAAAGGAGCCUCAGGCAAUCACAGUAAUUAUUCAGAAAAGCAAAUCUCAACUACUUUUAAAUGCAAAAUUCUCUGUCCUAGUCAAAUGAUUGUCAGCAAGGGAUUACAGCAUUAUAGAAGACACUUUGCCCUUCCUUGUGUGUGAAUCAACCUUGUUUACAUCUGGACAAGCAGCAAAGACAAAGAUUCAGUCAACAAAUUCUAGAGAUCAGGCUGCAGUGCA